UUUCACUGUGUGCUAUUUCAGAGCGCUGGCUUCUUUGAUGCAGUCAUCAUCUAUAUGGAAAAGAGGUGUGUGCAUGAAUCAAUGGUAUAGUUCAGCUGCAUCUGCAUUAGAAAGGCAUCAAAAUGAAUGAAAUGCAGGAACUGAAAUGUGCUCUCCCAGGAUGCUGUGCUAAAUCUGCACUUCAGAAAUACGCCAAGGCGCUUUCCGGGCGCGGGAUGCAGAGCCAGGAGGGUCCUACAAUUUCACAGCACAUUUCCUACAUUGCCAUUUUCACCUCUGCUGACUGGAGCACCUCAAGAUGGGCUGCUGACAGGUGCUGCUGGAGGCUGAGAGAUGGAAAAUCAAGGACGCUCUGAUGUGGUCUGUCACUAGCUUGAAGAGAAAAAAAAGCAGGAGAAGAUGGGACAAGGACGGCAUCAAGAAACUAAAACCAGACAAGGAACAGAAGGAAUAUUUAAGGAAAAACAUUGCAGCAUCUGGCAAAAUAUUUUCUCUUUAUAUCCUUCCUUGGGGUAAUGGUUAUUCACCAUCUGAAUGGCAUUGGUGGUUGUGACUCCUCAGGAUGUAAAUCACAGAAUCACAGGGUGAUCUGGGUUGAGAGGGACCAUAAAGAUUAUCCAGUUCCAACUCCCCCAUGCAUAAGAAGAGCAGCUGUACUGCACAUGUGAUGGGCUGAAUGGACAGCUCAGUCCCUGGGGUAGUGUCUGGUGACGGGUGGCUUUGAUGAGGCUUACAGGAAAGCCACUCAUGGUGGAGAGAAGCACUUGGGGUCCCAGCUGGUUCAUGUUUUACAUGCAGUCAUAAAAAAAAAUCAAACAAUCAUUUAGCGUGCAAUAAGCGGAUGCAGGAAGGUUUUUUUAAACCAGAGUCACAGCAGGUCGUGGCCAGCACUGAUUCCUUGCUGUUAUGGUCAGAGGUCCCCUCUGAUGCAUGGGGGGACUCUCCUAUCCUGUGCUGGAAACCCCUGUGGUCUUGGAGUCCCCCUGGCUCCAGGCCCAUGCAGGGGGAUGAAGGCACUGACUGCUGUUCAACAUCCUGUCCCACCAGAGACUGGAUGGAAAACACCGAUUUCCUUUCAGAGGAGAUUCAGAGAUGCAUUUAUUGAGGACUUGUUUCUCCUUGGAGGCAAAGGGAUUGGAAAGACAAAGCCCCUUUCCCUGUCAUGUUGAAGGCUCCAGGCAUGGAGCAAGAAGGUAACACUGAUAACACAAGGCUCUGUAACAUGCAAGAUCUAGGUUUCCUACACCAAACCACAAUGCAGACUCCUGGAUUCUUUGUCAGCCACCAUGGAGCCAGCAAACAUUAAAUUAUGUGCUGUCCCCACCUCCCCACCAAGGUUCUGACAGUCCCAAGGUGACAUCUCUUGCUGUUCCUUCUAGAAAAUGCCACAUGCUCUCUGGGGGUGUUUCCAAGCUAAAGUGCUCUUUCAAGCUUCAUGGCUGGGAAGAAGCCCCUGGGAUCAGAGGCAGAGGCAGAAGAAAACAUGACAAAGGAGGCACGAGGUGUUUGACCUGGUGGCAGAAGUAAUUGGCUCAGAUUUGUUUGGCUCAUGGAUAUUCACUGGUGCUGUUGGAGGUGGGAUGUAAGAGCACCACCAGCUCUGAGAUGCCACAUUUUCCUGCACAUGGAUGUAGUGACUGCUCUUUUGAAGGAGGUUAUUAAUCCUUGCCAUGUCAUUGCUUUGAGCGAUGGAGCAGUGAAAGACCUGUUCUGCAGCACUUAGAGAGGAAGCCCAAAGACCUGGCUCCUCAGAGAACAACCCAUACCCACCCACUUGGAGGACAGAGACUCCUCUCAAGAAUUUCACAGCCACUUUGGGAACCUUGAGGUUGAAAGCCCCUCCAUGGCAAAUACCUGGAGAAGCACUUCAUCUUCCCUGGCUAUAAGAAUUUGUCUUAACUAAAGAUUUUCAAUUAAAAGUCAAGACUGAAUUGCUGCAAAGUGCCAGAGACAAGAGUCAUUAAUACUGGAAUGCAAGUUUUAGAUAAUUUUUAAUAUGCUCUGCAAGACAUCCAUAAAAGGCCCUUAAUCAA